AGGUUUGCAAUGUGCUACGUAACUCGACCAAUUUUUCAGACUACUUUUUGAAAAAUGUUAACAAACCAUGCAGAAAAGAAAUGUACAGCCCCCUAAUGCAUGUGAUCACAUUCCUCAAUGCCAAAAGUCACAGCUAUACGUGUCUUCACCUUCCCUUUUGUUAACCUUUAAGAGAAAGAGAUGGGGUGAAGGCCUGAAGGUGAAAAGAACGGAGACUGACAGGCCACUUGAUUGCCGAUGUUUUCUGCUUCUUUGUGCCUCACCGCUACACUAACUCUUUCAGACGGAAAAACUGAGAACAACAACAUUAGCCACAGAAGCCUAUUAAAUGUAACCCCGGGACUCCAUUACAAUUGGUUAAAGAGAACACAGUGAAUUAAUACUACGCUGUUACCUGUGAUGACUGCACCGUGGAUUUUGAAUGAAUUUUGGAAGCAAUAUGGCAGUAAUAUUCUUAACAGUAAAAUAUCAUGUAAUAACAAACUACAUGGUAUUCUGAGAUUUUAGUAUCAUUU